rnacentral:rRNA from 1 species
AGUGAAUAGAUACCCUGGUAGUCCUAGCCGUAAACGAUACUCGCUAGGUGUCGGCCACGGUGCGACCGUUGUCGGUGCCGUAGGGAAAGCCGUGAAGCGAGCCACCUGGGAAGUACGGCCGCAAGGCUGAAACUUAAAGGAAUUGGCGGGGGAGCACCACAACGGGUGGAGCUUGCGGUUUAAAUUGGAUUCAACGCCGGAAAUCUUACCGGGACCGACAGCAACAUGAAGGCCAGGCUGAAGACUUUGCCGGAUUAGCUGAGAGGUGGUGCAUGGCCGUCGUCAGUUCGUACUGUGAAGCAUCCUGUUAAGUCAGGCAACGAGCGAGACCCACGCCCACAGUUGCCAGCGUACUCUCCGGAGUGACGGGUACACUGUGGGGACCGCCGCUGCUAAAGCGGAGGAAGGAAUGGGCAACGGUAGGUCAGUAUGCCCCGAAUAUCCCGGGCUACACGCGAGCUACAAUGGUUGGUACAAUGGGUAUCUACCCCGAAAGGGAUGGAAAUCUCCUAAAGCCAAUCUUAGUUC